rnacentral:piRNA from 1 species
UGACACAACUUGGAAUCCCUGUUCCCUGC